rnacentral:rRNA from 1 species
UGCGUAGGUGGUUUUGCAAGUCAGAAGUGAAAGGCUACGGCUCAACCGUAGUAAGCUUUUGAAACUGCAAAACUUGAGUGCAGGAGAGGAGAGUGGAAUUCCUAGUGUAGCGGUGAAAUGCGUAGAUAUUAGGAGGAACACCAGUUGCGAAGGCGGCUCUCUGGACUGUAACUGACACUGAGGCACGAAAGCGUGGGGAGCAAACA